rnacentral:siRNA from 1 species
UGAGUUUUGAUGUUCGUUUAGUGC